rnacentral:rRNA from 1 species
AGGCAUGCUGGAGGUAUCAGAAGUGCGAAUGCUGACAUAAGUAACGAUAAAGCGGGUGAAAAGCCCGCUCGCCGGAAGACCAAGGGUUCCUGUCCAACGUUAAUCGGGGCAGGGUGAGUCGACCCCUAAGGCGAGGCCGAAAGGCGUAGUCGAUGGGAAACAGGUUAAUAUUCCUGUACUUGGUGUUACUGCGAAGGGGGGACGGAGAAGGCUAUGUUGGCCGGGCGACGGUUGUCCCGGUUUAAGCGUGUAGGCUGGUUUUCCAGGCAAAUCCGGAAAAUCAAGGCUGAGGCGUGAUGACGAGGCACUACGGUGCUGAAGCAACAAAUGCCCUGCUUCCAGGAAAAGCCUCUAAGCAUCAGGUAACAUCAAAUCGUACCCCAAACCGACACAGGUGGUCAGGUAGAGAAUACCAAGGCGCUUGAGAGAACUCGGGUGAAGGAACUAGGCAAAAUGGUGCCGUAACUUCGGGAGAAGGCACGCUGAUAUGUAGGUGAAGUCCCUCGCGGAUGGAGCUGAAAUCAGUCGAAGAUACCAGCUGGCUGCAACUGUUUAUUAAAAACACAGCACUGUGCAAACACGAAAGUGGACGUAUACGGUGUGACGCCUGCCCGGUGCCGGAAGGUUAAUUGAUGGGGUUAGCGCAAGCGAAGCUCUUGAUCGAAGCCCCGGUA